UGCACUCCCUUCCUUUCCGUCUCAUUUUGGGCACUCAGCACCUCUGUCUUUGGGGUGGGGUUUGCCCCAGAUCCUGAGCAGUGGUUUCCUCUUGAUUCUGGGCAGAUAGCCAGACUGACUUCCAGGUUUCUCUACAGUUAGAUGUUGCCCUGAGACGAGGUUUACUCAAUGGGCUUUAAGUAAAGGCAGGUGUGCCACCCCCAGCAGGGUCCCUGAUAACCUGAGGUGGAGGGUCCUUGCUCUCUUCCUCCCCCUAGUGGCUUAAUAUUGCAGUUUGGGCUCCAUUGCUGGGGUCAAAGCCUCCAUCAACCUAACUCCCAAAACUUUUCUGCAUGGAGCAAAACGAACACUGACUCUACUUUACACCCUUACCCCUACAUAUUGGAAUCAUCUUUGGGGGCUUAAAUGAGGGAGAGAUAAACUUUAUGUGUGUGUGGAUAAGAGUGGGGCUCAGAGGAGCAAGCCUCUUAGCCCAGAUACUCAGGAGGCUGAAGCAGGCGGAUCUUGAGCUCCAGGCCAGCCUCAAAUUAAAGAUAAAAAUGGCUGGGGUAUAGCUCAGUGGUGAGCACUCACCCAGCACACACAGGGCCCUGGAUUCGAUCUCAGUAAUGCCUCUCAUCUCAAAGUAAGGAUGACUUCGGGUAAGUGAGAAAUACACUUCCACCGUGGCAAGACAGUGAUAUUUCCGGUGUUCCUGGCACAGCGUAUGACGUCACACAGAUGGUCAUGGUCACUCUCAAGACAGCCUGCCACCGUUUCUGAGCUCGUGUUCUUCCAAAUCUGCUCCUCUGCGUUGUGAUCCACAGCAUAGGUCUCAGGUUCCUGUUUCCAGGUGUGCAUGGAUGCCCACAGCCAGUGCACACUUCCGUCCAGUGCAUGGCCCAGCAAAGGAACCUGCAGUCAUGGAGAACUGCCUUUUUAUAGGGAGGCACGGAGAAAUAAAAUUCAAAAGGGCAAAAUAAUAUUUAUUUUCUGUGACAUUCUUUCAUUCAACAAAUAAUCACCAAUCAACUACUAUGUGUUCUGCUUCCCUGUCCACACCGGAGAUGGGGCCGUGAGCAUCCACCCUUCUCGGAGAGCUCUUGGUGUUGGCCGCAGGAUCUGGCAGCUCUCUGGGACGCACCAGCACCUUCCUGCCCUCCAGGACCAAAGGAUGCAAACUGGGGAAACAGCGAAGUCUCCUGCAGAAGUGCGGAAGGAGUGGAAACCAGACCGGCGGGGCAGGGCAGCGCUCCUGCUGGAGAUUCCCCCACAGGAAGGCAGUGGCCCUGGGCUGUUCUGGAGGAGACGGCGGAGUGGGCCAGGCCAGAGGGUAAAACCGCAGGUGAGGCCGGAUCCUGUGAGCCUGACGCGUGGAGGAAAAGCUUCGUAUUCCCAGGCACAUUGUUACGUUGUUGCUGCAGUUUCUGUGUCACAGCCAGUUACUGCUUCUGGUGGCUUUUAAUUAAACAACUUGGUUUAUUCUUUCUUUCUGUCCUCUAGGAUUUGCAGAAUGGAUCCCACGGCCUCAUUGUGCAGGGAAAGGGCCAGGCUCUUCUCAGUGGACAAAAUAUGUGUCUCCUGGAGUGUAAGAGGUUGAGCAUGGCCCAGAGUUGCAACUUGACAUGCCUGUCUCUGUCUCCUUUGGAGUAAGCACAGCGCUUUCCAGAACUGUCACCUCCCGGCCUGCACCGAGCUUGAAGUCAGGAUUAGGAGCGGCCUCUAAGGGGAAGCAAGGUGCACUUGGAACCUGGCUCAUGGCAUCCCUGAAAUAGAACAGUGAACCUCCACAUGCCAGAUACACAGCUUCAAAAAUUACCAGGUCAUGGCCAAUUUUGUUUCAUCUCUGUGCUCAUCUUCUUUCCUUUUUAUAUCGUGUUGAAGAUUUCUAGCCUCACAUCCUUUCAUCUAUAGAAUACACACUAUGUAGUUCUGAAACACAGACAUUAAAAAAUAAUAAGCAUGGCAUAAUUAUCACCCCUUCCCUCCAAAAAUAGGUAGAAGUUUUAGCAGGUAGAAAAGUAUCUCUCCAAAGUGUCCUUGUCCUGAGUCCCAUUCUCAAUGUAUUGCAUUACAUGACGUAAAGGUUGCGGAGGUAAUGGUGAUUUCUGAUCAACUGGCCCAAAACAAGAUGAUGACCACAGAGCAAGAAGUCCAGCUGGGCUUGAAAAUUAGGGAAUGGGCCACAAGCAAAACACACGAGCAACUUAGAGAAUCUGGGGAAGACCACAAGCUCCUCUUCAGACCUCCAGAAGAAAUGCAGACUUGAGAACACUUUGGCCCAGUGAUAGCUGUUCCAGCUUCCAGAACUUUGCUCCCUUGCCCACUGUGGUUACUGAACAGCGAGAUGAAAAGCCAGGGGGAGCUCAUGCGUUGCCUCUUCUGCUCUGCCUGCUGCCCCCACCUCGGCGGCUGUGCCAUGGAGAAAGGAGACAGAGGCCACCAGCCUAGACCGGGCUGACAAUCAUUGCACAACUGAGCUCAGUACCUAACGUCCUCCAGUCCUUUUGGGAAUAGGUGUGGUAGCUGUACCUUAAAGGUGACAUGAAGGUGAGUUACUACUUCUCUUCAGUGUGGCAGGACUGUGCCUGGCAACAAACCUCAGAACAUGGUAAAGGUGGUGAAAUAUCACUUGCUUGGUUCAGCUAUUUCACUCGGCAAGGGCUGUCCUUUCUCCAAGGUCGAAAGGGCAGAAGCAUUUUCCAGGAACUUCAGGGUCGGAGGAAGAGUCACUUGGCCUUGCCUUGCCCCGGCCUUCUUCUUGCCUCCCUGAAUUCUGCAGUGAAGAGCUCUGUUCUGGUCUCUUUGUGAUUUGUGGCAUUAGGUGUGUUGGGGGGGUUCAGAAGGGAACUAAGUUAAAAUAAGUCCACUCUGCCUAAUUUCAUUCCAAAUAACUCUUCCUGGGUGGGAUGGAGUGAGGGUAUAGUAGUCACAGCAAAGUGACUAUCAGCAGAGGGGCCGGCGGAGGUGGCCCAAGAACUACGGACAGUGUCAUCAACUGCACUGACACCAACAGCAGAAACUAAGAGGCAGCAGCACAUCUGGGAAAGUGGAGGGGUCCUGAACACCCACUUUCCAAGGUAUAAUGGCCCCCAAGAAAGACUAAGAAAUUGCUUGGCAUACCUGGGAACCAAGGCACAUGCAAGGGUGACAGGGUAUGGGUAAACCACACACACACACACACACACUCAGACCCACAUGGUCCCAGAAGUUUUAAUAAUUCAAGAUUUUGCAGCAGGAAAAUAUCUUAUUUUUAGCCUACGUCUUUUUUUUUAUAUAUUUUAUCACUUACAGAAGAGAAUAAGAAGCAGUGAACUUUUUGUGCUUAGGAUCUCUUGGUGUCUACAGAAAACAUCCCAGUCACAUGCCUAACAGCACUCACACUCACCACUCAGCUUCAGUGACAAUAGAACAAAGAUCAAUUCCUGGCUCCCCAUCUGGUUCCCUGCAUCCAGAGAGAUGUGCAGACUGGAACCUGCCCUGAGCUGGUGGAAACUUAAAGAUGACCCAGGUUAGGUUGUCUCUGUCAUUUGAGAGAGGACAAAGCUGAGGCCCAGAGGAAGGAAGGGAACCCCUCAUGGUCACAUGUCCACUUAGGCCCAGAGAUGAGACAGUAGCCACAGCCCAGCUGUCUUGCCAGCCUCUGCCUCUCACUAUUCUGCCUGUGGUGGAGGAGAGAAGUGGGUGGAUGUUCAAGGAAUGCAAACUCAUGCUCAUGUUUGAAUAUUAAAAUGUAAUAUUGUAAUUUUUAGCCUAAAACAAAACUGAAUUAAAGAGGUAGAUCUGCUGCAAAAAAAUUAAUGCUUUUCUGGUCCCAAUAUACAUGACUUGGAAGCGUUUGCCCCCAGGGAUCUAUUCCUAGAGGGAGGGCUGACACAGGCAGGAAGACAGACAGUUUUGUGAGGCCCCUCCCAUGGGGCACCUCCUCCUCCUCUGUUCCUUCCUCACAGCCUUAUGCUUUUACAGAGCAUGCCCAGCAUCUCCCACCUCCUCAGGGCACCUUGGCUCCCCCCAGAGCUUGCAAGUGUUCACCAGGUGGUCAGCUCUGUUGGUCUUCCAGGACUGCCAUGCAAUCUACCAUCACAAAGAGGCCUGGAUCACAGAAACAUAACUUUCUCCCUCCCCUGGAAGACCAGAAGUCUGAUGCUAAAGGCUGGCCCCUUCUGAGGACUAGGAAGAAAGCACUGGCCCCCAGGCUUCUCUCUUUGUACAGCCAUCUCUCCCAGGAUCUUCACCUCACCUUCCCUGCGCAUGUGUCUGUGCCCACAUCUGCUCUUCCCACAGUGGUACAGUUAUGUUAUAGACAGGUAGUGGCCUCUGUGAGGUCACUGCCUCAAAAUAAAGUCACAUUCUAAGAUCCUGGCAUUGGGACGUCAACAUGUAAAGUAGCUGUGGAAUGCACGGUUUCACCCCCAGCACCAGUUUCCUGCAGCCCCCGGGCAGUGAGCUGGAUGGGACAGGAUGUGACUCCCAUGGCUCUCUGCCGUCACUGCCCAGCACGUGAGCUGGGACAGGUGGCCACGCCUCCGAGAGCCUCUAAAGGGAGCAGAAAUCACGUGUACUUUUCAGAGCCUAGACGACAAACCACACGGCAUCUACCAAAAGUCCCAGGAGAAUAGCUAUGGCAUCAAAGUCUCCGGAUAAUUGCUGGUUCCUCCCUUUGUCCUCCAGAGUGUGUGCACAAAGACCCAUUGUGACCACUGAAAAGAGCACAAAGCACAGACACACAGUUGCCCUGGAGGCUUCUGAUCAAAUGAAGCCUUGUGCAUGGAUACAAACCGCCAAGAGAGUUCCGUGUCCUAAAAUAAAGCAAGUUGGGUGUUUGAUACAAAGAUGGGGCCCAGCCCAUCUGCUCCUCCCUGGUAUCUACUCAGACAGCACUUGGACAGAAUCAUACAAGUUUCUCCAGUUCGCUGGGAUGACUUCUUAUGUAGUUUUCCUUUACAUUAAAAAUAAC